AUUCCAAAGUUUCCAGAUUUCUCAAGGAUCCUACUUCCUUUCCUUUAACUGUUAUCGGAGCAUCCAUAAACUCUUCUAGUACAAAGACUUGCAGGUGAGAGAGUUUUGGUAAUAUCCCACUAGGAAACUCCUUUUCACCACAUCCAUUCAUUCUAAGAUACCUCAGGUUGGUUAGGCAUUCCAUUCCUUGCGGCAUAUUUUCAAGCGCGGUACGAGAGAGAGCCAACCUCUUCAGUUCCUUGAGCUUCUUUAAUGAUGGAACAUGUUUUAAUUUCCCACAAGAAUUGAGCAAUAAUGCAGUGAGACUCACCAAAUCAGAGAAAGAGUCUGGCAAAUUUUCAAUACCUGUCCAAGACAGAUCGAGGACCUUGAGCCCAUGCAAUUGCUUGAAAAAUGAAUCCGCUAUAGAUCCCAACCGUUGAUUAUAACAUAGAAGCAGAGUGGACAGAUUUGAACAAAUUGGUGAAUGGCCGAAAGGAAUUUCUUCGAUCUCGUUUAGUACUAGUGAAACUAUCGUCAAAUUCUCCGUCCACUCCUCUGCAUCUGGCAACUCUUUUAAUUGCGCACCUGCUUUAACCAUGCCUUGAGAGUUCUCUAGCAGUAUUUGGAUGGCCAUGUCCCUAAUCAAGUCAUGCAUCUUGACACGUCUACAACCAAACAUCAUUUGAGCUCUUUCUAAUAGGCAAACAUAUUCAAGUCUAUUAAGCAUCGUGUGGCCCUCGUCAAAUGCAUCUUCCCUUCUCCUCAUUCCUUUAAUUAUUCCCUCGUCGAUCAAAUAACCUAUCAACUCCUCCCUUCCAAUCCAAUAAUCUUCAGGAAAUAAUGCACAGUACAAGAGACAUUGUUGUAGUGCUAGAUCAUCUAACCGAUCAUAACUAAACCUCAAUAACUUGAAUACUUCCUUGUCCCUAAAUUCUGAUUCUUUCAAUUUGUUCAAUGUAUUUCUCCACUCAUGUAGGUCAUCCACUCCCCUCAAGCUUCCUGCCACUGUAAUAAUUCCCAAUGGCAAACCAGCACAUUUCCUUGCAACAGCUUCCGCAAUUCCUUCCACUUCUGGUGAAAGUGCUACAUCAUGUCCAAGUUUCUCCAUGAACAAAAUCCAAGCUUCUCCCUUAGAAAGUGGCUUCACUUUGAUUUUGUGCUGGCAAGUCAUCCGAUGACAAACUGUUUCUGAUCGAGUUGUCAAAAUCAGCUUGCAUCCUUUCAACUUCUCAGGAAUUCCCACUUUGUGUAGCUCAAAAUUGUUCCACAAAUCAUCUAAAAUAAGAAUCCAUUUUUGUUUCUUCCUUAGUUCUUCUGACAAUUUAGCAGCUCUAUGCAGUUCAUCAUGUUUUCUUGAAAGAUCUAGAUCAAGAUGUUCAGCAAUAAGAUUCUGCAAUCUAUUAAUGCUGAAAUCUUGAGACACAGUCACCCACCAAACAUGAUCACAAAUAUCUGGUCUUUGUAGAAGCUCAUUAUGGAUAUGUUGCAGUAUUGUGGAUUUACCAACUCCCCCAUCCCAUAAAUGCCAAUGGUUGAGACUUCCCCAUCCAUUAACAAAGACCAUAUCUCAUUCGUAUUCUCUUCGAAUGCUUGACCCACUGGUUUUGUAGAGCUAGUAGGUAAUGGAACUCCUCUAGUCUUGUUGUAUUUCAGACUUUCAGAAGAUCUAGCUCCAGCACCAACCUGCACUGAUCUUCGACUAUUCUCCACAUCCUCCUCCACUAAUUCUGUCCUCACUCUAACCCGAUUAAUUCUCUCUUCCCCGGCACCUUGUUCCAGCACCCCCUGAACUCCCACUUGUAUCCUUCCAGCACCCCCUGCCAAAUUGCCAAGUACUGCAUUUCUUUGUUCCAACGAUCGAUCCACUUGUUCUGUCCUCGGUCUGCUCUUGAGUGCCCCUUCAGAAACUCCAUCUUCUUGUGCUCUCAUUCCGGUCAUGCUUACUACGUCGUUUCCUGCUAUUGCAUGUGAAGUAAUUCUCUCUUCCCCUACUCCGGGUUCUACAACCUGAACUUCUCGUUGUACCCUUCCAAUUCCUCCUUCCGUAUUUUCAAUCUCAAUGUUUUGUUCUUGUGGACAAGUUGAAAUUCCAAAAUCAUUAACAUUGACUGAACUUGCUGUGGUUUUAUGUCUUUUGUUGCCACCACACAUAGCUAGAAAGGCUGCUUCUUGAACUUCUGUAGUCACCCCAGGACAAAUGGCAACAUUAUGCCCUCUCUUUCUUGAUAAAUGCCAUUUGAUCCUCGAAAUGGAAGUAUCCUUGGCAUAUGUAUGUGGACAAAACUUACACUUCAUCCUACCAUCAGCCCUAUAUUCAACAUAAUUCCAAAACGGAUCAUUUGAUCCAACCAUUUCGACCUAUAGAAAAAAAGGGGGGGUCAAAAUAUAGAAUAAAAAUCAGUCAAAAUAAAGAAUAAAAAUCCUAUCUGGAUGGAUGAGAAACUACUUCAGUACUGUUACCCCUAUUUUGCUAUUAAAAUUGAGAGUUAGUUUAUAGCACAAUCAUAGGGGAAAAAAAGACUACGAUAAUUCAGUUAGACUUCUUACUUGUUGAGAAUUUAAACCCCUAUUUUGACUUUGCAAGGAAGUGUCAGGGCCAGGAUUUGAGGCAUUUGGCCUAGCAGUUUGAUUUCGCAAUCCUCGGACUUGGAGGUUAUCCAUCUGUGACCUAUAUAAAAAUGAAGUGAUCAUAUUAUAAAACCUUUCGAUAAUUGGUAGUCUCUCUCAAGCACUAAAAAUCAAUGGUGUAUCUAAUUAUCGAAAAGGUAUUAAUACUAUGUAGAAAACCUAAUUUUUUUUAUUACAGAAAAUACUAAAAAUGAAAAAUUGGAUACCAUGGAGCAGGAAAAGAAGGUCCAGGUUGAUUGAAGCCACCAUGUUGUGAAGUGGUUGCGUUCGGUGUCAUAUAGCCAUGUCCCGGCUGAGGUUGAUGAAUAAGGGAAUUAUGAUGCCUUGAUGGAGUUUGAGGCCAAUUUGGUUCAUUUUGGUUGAUCCAUGAUGAUGAUGUUCCAUCCAAACCUCCCAUUGUUGUCUGUUUGUUUAACAAUAAACAAUUAGAAGAUGCUCGAGAUAAAUCGAUACACUAAACUUUUUGUAUAAUACAAACACUUGCUAAUUCAAUGGAUAUUGUAGCGAAUUGGAGCAAGCAUGAGUACUCACCAUGGUUUCCGGAAAUGAAGUUGGAAACUGAGUUGUACUAUCGUUGAUCACAUUGUUCCAUCCAAACCUCCCUUGAUCAUUGCCUUGGUUGACUGGAACCUCCGAUGCCGGCCUGCUUCCAUGGAAUAAUAGGAUAAACUGAAGAAUAACUAAAUUGCAAGCAAUCAUCUUCUGAUAAAAUAUGCUUAAGAAUGACGUACGAGAGAAGCUCAGAUAUAUUGAAUGUAUCAUCUUCUGAUUGAAAAUCCAGCUGAUCCCAUGUCAUGUUGUCAACCUCCUCCAUAGAAGAUGGUUGGAACCCUUCCAUCUGACCAGAAAAGAUCAGAAAAGACAAAAAAAAAACUGAGGUCUAAAAUGAACAGAAAGCACAGAUCAGAAAAGAAUAUAUAUAUCCCAUUGCUGUCUGUUUGUUUAACAAUAAACAUUUUGAAGAUGCUCGAGAUAAAUUGAUACACGAAAACAUAAAACUUUUUUAUCCAAUGGGUGAUACAAACACUUGCUAAUUCAAUGGACAUUGUAGCAAAUUGGAGUAGGCAUGAGCACUCACCAUGGUUUGAGGAAAUGAAGGUGGAAACUGAGUUGUUUGUUGAAUACUAUCGUUGAUCACAUUGUUAUCCACUACCAUGUUCUGUCCAACAUGAUCAUUGCAUAACAUGAAGCUUUGGUUGCCUGGAACCUCCGGUGGCGACCUGCUUCCAUAGUCAGUAACAUUAUUGUUUCUUGGGAAUAAACUAUUGAAGAAUAACUAAAUUGCAAGCAAUCGUCUUCUGAUAAAAUAUGCUUAAGAAUGACGUACAAGAGAAGCUCAGACAUGAAUGUAUCUUCUAGUGAUUGAAGAUCGAACAGAUUCGAUGUCACGUUGACAUCAUCCUCCAUAGAAGAUUGUGGGAACCCUUCCAUCUGACCACAAGUACAAGACGAUUAGUAUGUACUGAGGUGGAAAAAGAACAGAAAGCUCAGAUCAGAAAAGAAUAUAUAUAUUAAAAAAAUAAUUAUGACUUGCUUAUUUGUUAAAGAAAUAAGGAUGAAAAAUAGGAAAUAUAAAUGUUGUUGUUAAUGAUUUAACCCUUUGUAUUUAAAGCUAAAUUAUCAUACUCAAAUUCUAUCCUAAAACUCUAGAAUGAUAGAUAGAAAGAUGCAGAAGAGGAUAACUGUUGAAGAAAGCAGGGGAAGGAAGGUCGAAGAGCUGAUUGUUUUGACGGGGUGAACAAAAACCUCUUUCAACUCCUAUUUAUUCAUAAUUUGGGGAGCAAAACAAAUGCAAGAUAUUGUUUUGUUCAAAAAGAUUCAGGUAAUUAUUGAUGAUCAAGUUAAUUCAUUGAAUCAUUGUAAGUUGAAAAAUAUUGAAUAAAAAUAAAUGGCAGUCCCAUUAAUUGGAAAAGAAAAGGGUGAAUCUAAAAUAAGGAGUUAAAAACAACAAAGAAUCUUGAAAAGACGAAAACAACGAAUUCAGUAUUAAUUUAGUAUGAACUCCACAAGGCAUGGAUUAUAAAAUCCGAGAAAAAGAUCAAUUUAUUUAUCAUGGAUUCCUUUAAAGAUUCAAACCAUACUUGCAUAUAUAAAAACAAAAACACCACCAAGAUAAAGUACAAAUAAUUAACCUGGAUUCAAGUGCUGGUUCGCUUGAGCAGUAAUCAGCCAAAAAAGAGAGGAGAAAUCACAUAAAUCUAGUUCGCACUGGUUAGAUGUGGAAAGGAAAAGAGGUAGAAGAUGAUUAGUACGUCCUGAGGAUUAAAAGAGAAGAGAAAUCACAGAUCGGAGAAGAUUAUAUGAUUAGAAAACUAAUAAAGUUGCAGUCUACAUAAAUUAUUGUUUUGUUAUAUGUGGAAGGAAGUUGCUAGGAAGCAACCCACUACUUUACCUACCCAAUUAUGAAAGCUUAGAAGAAGAUGCCUAGAAAAUGUGAUUAAUAUGUGAUUAAUAGGUGGUGGCCAAGAGUUUGGGACCAAGAGGUUUGAUUUCUAUGUGGUAUCAGGUUCGAGCCCUGGGUUGCUCAUAUGAUAGCCACUGGAGGCUUACAUAGUCGUUAACUUCAGGGCCUGUGGGAUUAGUCGAGGUAUGCGCAAGCUGAUCCGGACACACGUUUAACUAAAAAAAAAUACAUAUAUUAUAUUAUAAGAUAUAGAAAGUUAACGUGUGGACCCGCCCCAAUGUUGAAACUUCGAAGAAGCUGCCAAGAAAAUGUAAACACAUGAAAUUUUCAAAAAAGAAUAGUAUAUUUAUUAGGUUACUUUAAUGAUAAAUCAAUAUAGUUUUUAUUUUUAUUUUUUAUUUUUGGAUUUUCAUCUUGGAGAAACUCAAUAGGAUGAAAAUAUAAUAUUAAUCAAACUUCAAAUUAUAAUUAUUUAUCUAUCGAGUUAAAAAAAAAGUACAAAGGGAUGAAGGAUUAUUUCAAUAUUAAUUAAUAAGAGUAUCCUUGUUGAUUUAAAGGACUAUUUUCAUAUCGAAAAUAAUUAUGUUUUGCACCUGAUUUUUAACAAAAAUGAUUGAAAAAUGAUAUAUUAUUGAAUAUGAGCAAAUUUAAGAUAACAAAAAUGAUUAGUAUUUUUACAGAUGGAUAGAAUUGAUAAAUGAUGCAACAAAAAAGGAUACGUAUUAUUACAUUUAACGGAGUAAUUAACCAUUCUACAUAUUAAUUAUUUCGAGAGAAAAAGGUUCUUUGGACAUCCUUUGCAUUAUGAUAGAAUUGAUAAAUGAUGCAACAAAGAAGUAUUCUAACAACGAAAGGAUUAACAAUACGAAAGGUACAAUUCGAUUGAGAGAGAUUAUGCUUACCCUCUAUUCUAUAUUAUAUUAUAUUAAGGGCAGAGUAGUCUUCUCCUAUACAAAGUGUACAAAGGGAAGAAGGACAUCCUUUGUAUUAGGAUGCUCCCACUCCACUACUGUCUCCCACCAUUCUUCUGGAUAUGCCUUGAUUUUUCUAAGAGAAGGGGGAGGAGAUGGCUGCCCAUUUUCAUGCAACGGAAGACAAAUUGGAAUCCUCUUCAGCUUCUCACAAUAUAUUACAGUAAUAUAUUCAAGAGAAUUGCAUAUCAAUUUUACACUGCAAAUGCUUUUCAAUUCUGGUAAAUGAUACAAUUCCAAAAUUCUUAAGUUUGGGAGAAUGACUUCCGUGAUGGAAUUAGAGGUGCUGCUUUCUUCAUCUGUUGUUCCUAUUAUCUCCUCCAUUUUCUCACAUCCACUAAUUUCAAUAUGUGUAACAGGUUUAUAAGGUUUGGCAGCAAUACAAGUGGGAACACCUCCUUCAUACUGUUACAUCCACCACAAUAAAGCCUUUUAAGACCAGAAAACAUACCAUUAUAUGAUGGCAAUGGUGGUGGAGCAGAGCAGAACCAAGAAGAUGAAACCAUGCUCUCCAUGCUAUUGCAAUCCCCAAUGUCGAUUUCCUCCAGUUCAGUUGCAUUCUCUAAUGACAAAAUAUCACAUAAACUUCUUGCAUCGAUGCUUUCACAAACCAGUCCUUGAAUGCCAUUUAAGAACAUGACCUGAAAAUCUCCAUCUCCGUUGAUACUCAAAUUACCCAACCCAACUGUUUUACUUGGAAAAUAAUUAUUGCCAAACCAAUAAUUUAAACUCACCAUUCCUACUAAAAUUUUAUAUGUGCUUAAUGAUUGGAUCCCAUCCCGAGAUUUGAGAUAGUCCACGAAGUCAGAGAAACCUUCAAAAUGGCAUUCCAAACUUUCCAAAUUUCUCAAGGAUCCUACUUCCUUUCCUUUAACUGUUAUCGGAGCAAUCGUAAUCCCUUUUAUUACAAAGACAUGUAGGUGAGAGAGUUUUGGUAAUAUCCCACUAGGAAACUCCUUUUCACCACAUCCAUCCAUACUAAGAUACCUCAGGUUGGUUAGGCAUUCCAUUCCUUGCGGCAUCUUUUCAAGCCUAGUAUAAGAGAGAUCCAACCUCUUCAGUGCCGUGAGCUUCUUUAAUGAUGGAACAUGUUUUAAUUCAUCACACUUACUAAGCAAUAAGGCAGUAAGACUCGCCAAAUUAGAGACAGAAUCUGGCAAAUUUUUAAUACCUGUGCGAGACAGAUCAAGGACCAUGAGCCUAUGCAAUUGCUUGAAAAAUGAAUCCGCAACAAAUCCCAACCCUUUAUUAUCAC
rnacentral:lncRNA from 1 species